CUCGAUGAUCUUAGAGGCCUUUUCCAAACUAAAUGAUUCUAUGAUUCUGUAGUUCACCUGGGCCAAAACAGGCCUCUUCCCGCCUCUCACUGUAGGGCUGGGCACUGGCUGGCAGGAUGCCUGCCCUGAUAUCUGCAUGAGCCCCCUUGGCUCCUGUUCUUUCAUCUCCUUCUGGAGCAGCCUGGCUCCUGCUGCUCCCUGAUAGCCAGUACUCUGUAAGACAAGAUGAUCACAGUGAUGUGCCUUUUCUGAUGCUUCCAGUAGCAUUCAAAAUGCUACCAGGACAUGGGGGCCUGGGUGAGAAUAGGGGCCGACAAAUCAUGGGGGUAGUGGCCCAGGACGUACAGGAAGGAGUGGAGGAAGAAGUGGAGACCAACUUCAGUGCCACAACUGCAAAAGGACUUCAGGGUGCCUCACACCUCAACUAUGUGCUUAAGGAUGUAACUAGGAGUCAGGAGGCCUUUUUACAAAAGAGGAAAUGACCACAAAAGACUGGUACUGGAAGAUGAAAGGAGGGAGGGAGGAAUGAAGUACUUGGCAAGGAGAGAAAAAAGCCAGCAGCUGCUACAGCAUGAAUAAAAAAGAGUCUUAAUUCAGCCCAUACAGACCUUCAUGGAUUGUAUCCUACAGAUAUAUAACAAUGGCGAGGCAGGCCCUCAGCUGAUGCAAAGUAUCCACCUGAGUUUUCUGGAACCACAGGUAUUUCUGGAGGCUGAAGUUGUGGCCCAAGUGAGAGUUUCUACUUUGUCUUUCACCUGCAAGUAUGGACAAAGGCAGUGGGGUGUCAGAUUCCUGUGUGCUAAAGGAGAACAACACUGUGGGCUGUUGCACAUAUACAUGAUUUAGUGUUAACAGGGGCUUACUUCUUAAUAGUGACUUUUAGCUAGUACUUCAAAACAGUUAAAUUCAUAAUGUGUAAGGUCAGAGGAACAUCAGAACAGUGAUUGGGGUG